rnacentral:rRNA from 1 species
UGAACACCAAGUAGCGUGAAGGAUGACUGCCCUAUGGGUUGUAAACUUCUUUUAUACGGGAAUAAAGUGAGGCACGUGUGCCUUUUUGUAUGUACCGUAUGAAUAAGGAUCGGCUAACUCCGUGCCAGCAGCCGCGGUAAUACGGAGGAUCCGAGCGUUAUCCGGAUUUAUUGGGUUUAAAGGGAGCAUAGGCGGACGCUUAAGUCAGUUGUGAAAGUUUGCGGA